CUACGGGGGGCAGCAGUGGGGAAUAUUGGGCAAUGGGCGCAAGCCUGACCCAGCAACGCCGCGUGAGGGAAGAAGGUUUUCGGAUUGUAAACCUCUGUCCUUGGGGACGAAGAAGUGACGGUACCCAAGGAGGAAGCUCCGGCUAACUACGUGCCAGCAGGCCGCGGAAAUACGUAGGGAGCAAGCGUUGUCCGGAAUUACUGGGCGUAAAGGGUGCGUAGGCGGCAUAUUAAGUCAGGUGUGAAAUACUCGGGCUCAACCCGGGGGCUGCAUUUGAAACUGAUAUGCUUGAGUGUGAGAGAGGAAAGUGGAAUUCCUAGUGUAGCGGUGGAAUGCGUAGAUAUUAGGAGGAACACCAGUGGCGAAGGCGACUUUCUGGCUCAUAACUGACGCCGAGGCACGAAAGCGUGGGGAGCAAACAGGAUUAGAUACCCGAGUAGUC
rnacentral:rRNA from 1 species